AACGCGAUGAACCUUACCAAGGCUUGACAUGCAUUCGCACCAGCCGUAACGGGCUGUGCCCUUCGGGGACGGAUGCACAGGUGCUGCAUGGCUGUCGUCAGCUCGUGUCGUGAGAUGUUGGGUUAAGUCCCGCAACGAGCGCAACCCUUGUCGUUAGUUGAAUGAUCUAGCGAGACUGCCACGCUAAACGUGGAGGAAGGUGGGGAUGACGUCAAGUCAGCACGGCCCUUACGCCUUGGGCGACACACACGCUACAAUGGUCGGGACAAAGAGUUGCCAACCCGCGAGGGGGAGCCAAUCUCGUCAAACCCGAUCUCAGUUCAGAUUGCAGGCUGCAACCCGCCUGCAUGAAGUCGGAGUUGCUAGUAACCGUAGGUCAGCACACUACGGUGAAUACGUUCCCGGGUCUUGUACACACCG
rnacentral:rRNA from 1 species